AGUGAACGCUGGCGGUAGGCCUAACACAUGCAAGUCGAACGGCAGCACAGUAAGAGCUUGCUCUUACGGGUGGCGAGUGGCGGACGGGUGAGGAAUACAUCGGAAUCUACUUUUUCGUGGGGGAUAACGUAGGGAAACUUACGCUAAUACCGCAUACGACCUACGGGUGAAAGCAGGGGAUCUUCGGACCUUGCGCGAUUGAAUGAGCCGAUGUCGGAUUAGCUAGUUGGCGGGGUAAAGGCCCACCAAGGCGACGAUCCGUAGCUGGUCUGAGAGGAUGAUCAGCCACACUGGAACUGAGACACGGUCCAGACUCCGACGGGAGGCAGCAGUGGGGAAUAUUGGACAAGGGGCGCAAGCCUGAUCCAGCCAUACGGCGUGGGUGAAGAAGGCCUUCGGGUUGUAAAGCCCUUUUGUUGGGAAGAAAAGCAGCAGGUUAAUACCCCGCUGUUCUGACGGUACCCAAAGAAUAAGCACCGGCUAACUUCGUG
rnacentral:rRNA from 1 species